rnacentral:misc_RNA from 1 species
GUAGGUGAACCUGCGGAAGGAUCAUUACCGGGUUCAUGCCCUCCGGGGUAGAUCUCCCACCCUGCUUAUCUCACCUCUGUUGCUUUGGCGGGUCGACCGCUUCGGCCACCGGCGAUUCGCUGGUGUGCGCCCGCCAGAGGCCCCCCCAACCCUGGCAUCAAACGUGCCGUCCGAGUACCACGCAACAGUUAAAAACUUUCAACAACGGAUCUCUUGGUUCUGGCAUCGAUGAAGAACGCAGCAUCUGACU